UGUAACGCCAUGGGGUAGGAAGCCUGGAAACUUCUCCGGAGGAGACCAUUACAGAAACCCACAACCAAUCAAAAUGUUGUGGAGCCUGGUCCCAAUGGAUGCAUCUACAAAACACCUGUAAACCUAAGGUUCAGUGAAUAUCGCUGAAGAGGUGGCGGAAAUAUUGCUAAGACCAGAGGAUCAGGGAGUUUGCUGUGAGAUUGAGUCUGAAAGCGUUUUCCAGUACAAGGGUAUUUUAGCAGUCUCAAUUGUUGUCAUCACUAACGGCCAACUCAAUGUUUCCACCAUCACUGUUGAAGAUUUUCCCGGUGUUCAUGCUCCAUAUCCCCAGUGAAGCCCUCAUCACAGCCUGCCCUCUCGUCCUCUCUCUCUCUUCCCUCUCCUCCCCAUUACUUUCCGUCUUCUCUCUGGCCUUUUGUGCUUCCCUUCCAAUAAAUCUCUU